GGGGGUCUAGCUCAUCUGGUAGAGCAAUUGCUUUGCAAGCAAUAGGUGCGGGGUUCGAGUCCCCGGACCUCCA
rnacentral:tRNA from 1 species